rnacentral:rRNA from 1 species
CUACGGGAGGCAGCAGUGGGGAAUAUUGGACAAUGGGCGCAAGCCUGAUCCAGCAAUGCCGCGUGAGUGAUGAAGGCCUUCGGGUUGUAAAGCUCUUUCUUCACGCGACGAUGAUGACGGUAGCGUGAGAAGAAUCACCGGCUAACUUCGUGCCAGCAUCCGCGGUAAUACGAAGGGGGCUAGCGUUGUUCGGAAUUACUGGGCGUAAAAGGCGCGUAGGCGGUUCUUCAAGUCAGGCGUGAAAGNCCCGGGCUCAACCUGGGAACCGCGCUUGAGACUGGNGAACUAGAGUUCGGGAGAGGAUGGUGGAAUUCCCAGUGUAGAGGUGAAAUUCGUAGAUNUUGGGAAGAACNCCGAUGGCGAAGGCAGCCAUCUGGACCGACACUGACNCUGAGGCGCGAAAGCGUGGGGAUGCAAACAGGAUUAGAUACCCUGGUAGUCCACGCCGUAAACGAU